rnacentral:rRNA from 1 species
AUUGAACGCUGGCGGCAUGCCUUACACAUGCAAGUCGAACGGCAGCACGGGAGCAAUCCUGGUGGCGAGUGGCGAACGGGUGAGUAAUAUAUCGGAACGUGCCCAGUAGUGGGGGAUAGCCCGGCGAAAGCCGGAUUAAUACCGCAUACGACCUGAGGGUGAAAGCGGGGGAUCGCAAGACCUCGCGCUAUUGGAGCGGCCGAUAUCAGAUUAGCUUGUUGGUGUGGCAAAAGCCUACCAAGGCGACGAUCUGUAGCUGGUCUGAGAGGACGACCAGCCACACUGGGACUGAGACACGGCCCAGACUCCUACGGGAGGCAGUAGUGGGGAAUUUUGGACAAUGGGCGCAAGCCUGAUCCAGCCAUGCCGCGUGCGGGAAGAAGGCCUUCGGGUUGUAAACCGCUUUUGUCAGGGAAGAAACGGCUCUUGAUAAUACCGAGAGCUAAUGACGGUACCUGAAGAAUAAGCACCGGCUAACUACGUGCCAGCCGCCGCCGUAA